rnacentral:rRNA from 1 species
CACGUAGGGCGCAAGCGUUGUCCGGAAUUAUUGGGCGUAAAGAGCUCGUAGGCGGUCUGUUACGUCCGCUGUGAAAACCCGGGGCUUAACCCCUGGCUUGCAGUGGAUACGGACAGACUAGAGGUAGGUAGGGGAGAAUGGAAUUCCCGGUGUAGCGGUGAAAUGCGCAGAUAUCAGGAAGAACACCCGUGGCGAAAGCGGCUCUCUGGGACGGUACUGACGCUGAGACGCGAAAGCGUGGGGAGCGAACAGG